CUGCUGAGCGCUGAUUGGCUCCGGCUUGGGAAGCGGCAGAAAAGGCCGGCGUGUGGGGCGGGCCUGGGGAAGGGACUCCCGCGGCCCUAAGGUGCUGGCGGGCGUUUGGCGUUGCAGCUGUGUGGGCGCUGGUGCGUGCGAGUAGCGCUCGAAGAAACCCAAAGGCGUCGUGGGGCUGCCGUGUGCCCCAGAGAGCACUGCAGGCCGGGUAGGGGCUAAGGCUCCCCGCAGUCUUCUGUGUGUCGUCCAGUACGCAGUUGAAAUCGUUCUCCAACCUGGCCAGUCCUCCGAGGCCCUUCUCAGGCGACCAGACUCUGUUAACAGAGUCCAUUGCUAAAACUCCUCGUUAGUAUUUACCACUCCUCCAGUCUGUGUUUUGAAGCAGUGGUUUUCAACCACUGCCCGUUUUCAGAAGAAAUCAUCUCAAGCGUCCGUGUGCUGCUAGAAGCCGGGCCGGGAGGUCUUGGUGCCGGACUCCACCCUGCAGCCCUUCCCUUUCGCCACCGCCCUGUGCUUAGAGAAACCUUAGAGUGGAGCAAUGAGUCGCCCUUGACUGAGUAACUCUUCGGGGUCAACUUCUCCUUCCACGCCAAGGAAAGGAUUCCAGGGCGAUGUUUCUGGAAAUAGAGAUCUGACCAAGCCACUGCUCUGGUGAAAAUUCAGUGGGUCCCUAGCACCUAGUGCAGCGGCUCCUAGCCUGAGUAUUGCCGUCUUUCGGUGGGGAGGGGUUGGGUUUUUUUGUAGCAUCUGUUGAUCUGAUCUCCAACAUCCUCCACGUCAAUUCCCACUCCACCCACAUCCCUUAUCCUAUACGUAAGCUUUCCAGCCACGGUGCUGGCUUGGGUGGGGGUGCGUGCGGUGCUGACACCAAAAUGGAGGUCCCGUGUUUCUGAGAGUCUCUUUCAGAGCAAUGCAAACCUGAAACUACUCCUGCCAAGAAACGAUUGCAGCUCUUCCCGGAAAAGUUAAAGCCUUUGAGAAACAAAGCUGAGGUUGAAAGUAUUAGUCCAUUUUAUAGAUGAAGAAAUGGAGGCCCAGAGAGAUCACGUGACUUAGCCAAGUCCACCAAGGCCUAGGGGAUGCCAAAUUCCAGGGUCCAGAAAGAGCUUGGGAUAAAAUGAACAUCCAAGGGGAGGGCUUUGACCUGGGCUGAGUCUGCCUGUGCCGAGUCUGCCUGUGCCAUCCAACUGGAGUCUCAAGUCCUGAGGCAGGACGUCCAGAUGCCCCAGUGCAGGGUCCUCCUGAUCAACACCUGCUCCCCUGUACUCAUUAGCAACCUCACCCACCCUACUCUCAAAGCACACUUGGCUCUCAUAUCCAGGAGCUCUGCAUCUGUAGAUUCAGCAACAGCAGAUGGAAAAUAUUCAGAAAAUAAAUUGGA
rnacentral:lncRNA from 1 species